rnacentral:lncRNA from 1 species
GGCCAUCUCGACUUUUUCCUCGAGACCUUCCACAGCAUAGCACAACCUAGUAGCUGUCUCAUCAAGCGCAUCCACGCGCUGUUUCGUAGUACCCUUCUUGGGAGGCUCUACCACUUCAGUGGUGUGUGAUGUAAUUGGAUCCAUAGCUUUCUUAUCGAGGGUCUUGAGCCGCGGCUCUGAUACCAACUUUCACGGGGUACCUUUCUUCUUGGCACAGAAAGGGACACCGUGCGGCAGUAGUCUGCUCCGCUAGACUACCUUCCGCCUUUUCUCGGUCGCGUCGGGACGAAAGAAAAUUUGAUUGCAAUUUUGUAGAAAGCUUACAAUUGAGAAUUUGAAUACAUUGAAAGUAAAUUGAACAUUGAUUGCUGAAAACUGAACAUUACAAUUGAUGAAAGCAGAAAAUUACAAAUGCUGGUGCAGGGGGCGGACACCAGUGAGCUUGAAAGAUUUUUGAAUGACUAAUACCCCCUAUAAUAG